rnacentral:rRNA from 1 species
UACGUAGGGUGCGAGCGUUAAUCGGAAUUACUGGGCGUAAAGCGUGCGCAGGCGGUUUUGUAAGACAGAGGUGAAAUCCCCUGGCUUAACCUGGGAACUGCCUUUGUGACUGCAAGGCUUGAGUGCGGCAGAGGGGGAUGGAAUUCCGCGUGUAGCAGUGAAAUGCGUAGAUAUGCGGAGGAACACCGAUGGCGAAGGCAAUCCCCUGGGCCUGCACUGACGCUCAUGCACGAAAGCGUGGGGAGCAAACAGG